rnacentral:rRNA from 1 species
CAAUAGCGUAUAUUUAAGUUGUUGCAGUUAAAAAGCUCGUAGUUGGAUUUCGGGUGGGACGCAGCGGUCUCGCAUUGCGUUUGUACUGCUGCAGCCCUCCUUCUUGCCGGGGGCGGCCUCUCGGACUUCACUGUCUGGGGGUCAGAAUCGGCGAUGUUACUUUGAGUAAAUUAGAGUGUUCAAAGCAAGCUUACGCUCUGAAUAUAAUAGCAUGGGAUAACACGACAGGACUCUGGCCUAUCGUGUUGGUCUAUAGGACCAGAGUAAUGAUUAAGAGGGACAGUCGGGGGCAUUCGUAUUCCGUUGUCAGAGGUGAAAUUCUUGGAUUUACGGAAGACGAACAUCUGCGAAAGCAUUUGCCAAGGAUGUUUNUAUUGA